rnacentral:rRNA from 1 species
AUUGAACGCUGGCGGCAUGCCUUACACAUGCAAGUCGAACGGCAGCAUGAUCUAGCUUGCUAGAUUGAUGGCGAGUGGCGAACGGGUGAGUAAUACAUCGGAACGUGCCCUGUAGUGGGGGAUAACUAGUCGAAAGAUUAGCUAAUACCGCAUACGACCUGAGGGUGAAAGUGGGGGACCGCAAGGCCUCAUGCUAUAGGAGCGGCCGAUGUCUGAUUAGCUAGUUGGUGAGGUAAAGGCUCACCAAGGCGACGAUCAGUAGCUGGUCUGAGAGGACGAUCAGCCACACUGGGAGUGAGACACGGCCCAGACUCCUACGGGAGGCAGCAGUGGGGAAUUUUGGACAAUGGGCGAAAGCCUGAUCCAGCAAUGCCGCGUGUGUGAAGAAGGCCUUCGGGUUGUAAAGCACUUUUGUCCGGAAAGAAAUGGCUCUGGUUAAUACCUGGGGUCGAUGACGGUACCGGAAGAAUAAGGACCGGCUAACUACGUG